AGUAGCGGCGAAAUGCGUAGAUAUCUGGAGGAAUACCAAAGGCGAAGGCAGUCCCCUGGUCCGAUACUGACACUGAGGUACGAAAGCGUGGGGAGCAAACAGGAUUAGAUACCCUGGUAGUCCACGCCCUAAACGAUGUCGAUUAGCCAUUGGAAGGACCCCUUUUCCUUUCAGUGACGUAGCUAACGCGUUAAAUCGACCGCCUGGGAAGUACGACCGCAAGGUUAAAACUCAAAGGAAUUGACGGGGACCUGAACAAGCGGUGAAUGAUGUGGAUUAAUUCGAUGCUACGCGAAGAACCUUACCUACCUUUGACAUGGCCAAAGUUCUACCGAGAGGCGGAAGUACUCGUAAGAGGAUUGGCGCACAGGUGCUGCAUGGUUGUCGUCAGUUCGUGUCGUGAGAUGUUGGGUUCAGUCCCGCAACGAACGCAACCCUUAUCUUUAAUUGCUCCUAUUUUAACAGGCACUUUAAAGAAACUGCCAAUGAUAAGUUGGAGGAAGGUGGGGAUCACGUCAAGUCCGCAUGGCCUUUAUAGGUAGGGCUUCACACGUCAUACAAUGGUUAGAACAAAGAGCUGCAAAUUCGUAAGAAGGAGCCAAUCUCACAAACCUAACCUCAGUUCGAAUUGCGGUCUGCAACUCGAGCGCAUGAAGCCGGAAUCGCUAGUAAUCGUGGGUCAGAAUGCCA
rnacentral:rRNA from 1 species